GAAAUAGCAAAAAACUACAAAUCUCAAUGCGAUAAAAAUAAAUGCGGAAAAUAAAAAUCACACCGAGAUUUACGUGGGAAAAAUCCAAUUUGGAGAAAAACCUACGGGACCAACACGCAAAAAAAUAAUCUACUAAGAGAAAAGAUUACAAGGUGAUUACCGACUCCACGGACUCAACCUCUCUUAACCUCUUAUAGAUCUCGCGCAAUCCUCCGGGUUGUCCACGCCCUCACGUUCGAAUCCACGAACGCCUCCACUUCGAAUCCACGAAGCUUCAAUCACGCUGAAUCCAUGACGCCACUCAAAUCCAUGAGCCCACGAUCCGAAUCCACGAACCGCCUUCGUUCACGC
rnacentral:lncRNA from 1 species